rnacentral:rRNA from 1 species
AUUGAACGCUGGCGGCAUGCUUUACACAUGCAAGUCGAACGGUAACAGGCCUUCGGGUGCUGACGAGUGGCGAACGGGUGAGUAUUGCAUCGGAACGUACCCAGAGGUGGGGGAUAACGCAGCGAAAGCUGUGCUAAUACCGCAUGUGAUCUGAGGAUGAAAGCGGGGGACCGAGCAGCAAUGUUUGGCCUCGCGCCUUUGGAGCGGCCGAUGUCGGAUUAGCUAGUUGGUGGGGUAAAGGCCUACCAAGGCGACGAUCCGUAGCUGGUCUGAGAGGACGACCAGCCACACUGGGACUGAGACACGGCCCAGACUCCUACGGGAGGCAGCAGUGGGGAAUUUUGGACAAUGGGCGCAAGCCUGAUCCAGCAAUGCCGCGUGCGGGAAGAAGGCCUUCGGGUUGUAAACCGCUUUUGGCAGGAACGAAACGGUGUCCGCUAAUACCGGGCGCUAAUGACGGUACCUGCAGAAUAAGCACCGGCUAACUACGUG